AAUAAGUGCAGCCGUGGAUAUCCGUGUCCAACGUUUGACCAUCCGUCUUAUUUGAAAAAUUAAUGAAAAAAUUAGUCACACAUAAAGUACUAUUCAUGUUUUAUCAUCUAAUAGCAAUAAAAAUACUAAUCAUAAAAAAAUUUUAAAUAAGACGAACGGUCAAACGUUGAACGUAAAUAGUGCAAAACUGCACUUAUU
rfam:Oryza sativa (indica cultivar-group) chromosome 5, whole genome shotgun sequence.